UGCCUCAGCAGCGGCUGCCGCCUGUCAGAGAGACAUACGGGCUGAACCUGCUGGCCAUCCCGCCGGAUGAAGACAUCCUCAUAUACCACAGAUUUGCUCAUCUGGGUCAGAACCAGCACAAGGUGGAGAGACGUGACGAUAUGAAGAAAUUAGACGCCGUCAUCAGCCUCGCUCCGGUGUCUCUGUUCCCGUCAGACAGCAUCUAUGAGGUUUCUGCUCCAGAGGUGGACAUCCAGAGCCGCGAGGUGUUCGAGUGUCACGUUCAGACGGGUCGUGGCUGGGUCAGGACUCUGUGUCAGGAGGACGUGCUCAUGUACCGCGAGUACAUCAAAAACAGAUACAUGUGAAUGUCUCCAAACCAUUCAGAUCCACUGAUGGAAAAUGGUUGAAUUAUUAGAGCAGCGGUUCUCUGUUCUGCUUGUUUUAAAGUGAGUCAUUUGACCAUCAAAAAUGUACGACAUUCCUUUUCCCUAUAAAAGCAAUGCAGGAGUGUUCAUGAAGAACAGACGUCACUGUGACUUUAAUAGAUUGUGUGGCGUGCAACAAAUCGAUUCGCAGACGAGCUUCUAAUUAAGUUGUGCCUGAUGUUAAUGUGAUGUAUGAAGUUACAUAUGUACAGAAUAGAAUAAAAUAUCAUGAGA